GAUCAUGGCUCAGGACGAACGCUGGCGGCGUGCUUAACACAUGCAAGUCGAACGAGAAUCUACUGAAAGAGUUUUCGGACAAUGGAAGUAGAGGAAAGUGGCGGACGGGUGAGUAACGCGUGAGGAACCUGCCUUGAAGAGGGGGACAACAGUUGGAAACGACUGCUAAUACCGCAUGAAGCAUAGGGGUCGCAUGAUUCUUAUGCCAAAGAUUUAUCGCUUCAAGAUGGCCUCGCGU
rnacentral:rRNA from 1 species